rnacentral:lncRNA from 1 species
AGAGAGCUCUCGUCAUUAUACCAAACAAAAAAAAGCUAGUGAUGAAACUUUCCAUGUUCAUUUGUUCAUCCCAGAAGCAUCCUUCACAGCAUGAUCAGCUGCGCCCUGUGCCAACUAUACACAUACACACCAAAAACCCAAAUAAAUAAAUAGAAUAGUGUUUGUCUGCUUGUCAAAGCUCAUGUUGUAUGUUGUUGAUCCCAAAAAAGAAAGGAAGAAAAAGAACCUCUCGAACUGAUUCCUGUGCAGAUUGAGCGGCACUGCUAGCCCUGUCAAUCGCGUUGCUAGUCUUAUCCCGAAGCAAAACAAUUUCCCUAUUUAUUUCUCUAAAGAGUUUAUUUGAUAAUCCAACAGUAAAAACAUAAUAAGAGUUUUUUUAAAGGUGAUUACCUGAGCUUGGCCCUUGGCCUCACCGGUAUGGUAGCGCAUCUUCUGAGAGUUGUCGGCCAUCUCUUCGGUUAGUAUAAAAGCAGAAAAUAAAUAAAAAACUCUGAUCAACUAUAAGCUCCAGUGCCUUGAGAGAUUUGUUGAUUGGGUGUUGUAGACGCCGUGCUUUAAAGCCAAUGCAAUGCUUGAUACGUACGCUUGUCAAAAUUAGAUUCAAGCUUACCUCUGCUAUUUGCGUAGCCAUUAUUGAUGUUGAGAUUUUUUAGCCCUUUGAUGAGGGAGAAAACUUUAAAUGUCAUUGCUAUAUUUCUCCCCUUACCAUUUAAUUUUUUAUAAUCAUUAUCAUUAUUUUUAUUCUGGGUUAAAGUUUUUAGGGUGUAGUUUGCUAAACGAGCUGUGUGUUCAUUCACUCUGGUAAUCUCUAAUCAAUUAAGCUGCUAAACAACACAAGAGCGCCUGGGUUGAAGAUGUCCUUUAACUUUUGGGUAGCUUUAUUGUUAAUUUCUAGAAUAUUGACUGUGUUCUUCAAUUUUUAUUUUAAUUAAAAUUACUCAACAUUUAAAAAUUAUAGAAAAUAAUAUAUUACCAAUAAAAAUAUAAUGUUUUAUAAGAGCAGGACUAAUUU